UACGCUGGUAAUAGACAGUACC
rnacentral:siRNA from 1 species